rnacentral:rRNA from 1 species
CAGUCGAGCGAGUCUGCCUUGAAGAUCGAAGUGCUUGCACUCUGUGAAACAAGAUACAGGCUAGCGGCGGACGGGUGAGUAACACGUGGGUAACCUGCCCAAGAGAUCGGGAUAACACCUGGAAACAGAUGCUAAUACCGGAUAACAACAGAUGAUGCCUAUCAACUGUUUAAAAGAUGGCUCUGCUAUCACUCUUGGAUGGACCUGCGGUGCAUUAGCUAGUUGGUAGGGUAACGGCCUACCAAGGCGAUGAUGCAUAGCCGAGUUGAGAGACUGAUCGGCCACAUUGGGACUGAGACACGGCCCAAACUCCUACGGGAGGCAGCAGUAGGGAAUCUUCCACAAUGGACGCAAGUCUGAUGGAGCAACGCCGCGUGAGUGAAGAAGGGUUUCGGCUCGUAAAGCUCUGUUGUUGGUGAAGAAGGACGGGGGUAGUAACUGACCUUUGUUUGACGGUAAUCAAUUAGAAAGUCACGGCUAACUACGUGCCAGCAGCCGCGGUAAUACGUAGGUGGCAAGCGUUGUCCGGAUUUAUUGGGCGUAAAGCGAGUGCAGGCGGUUCGAUAAGUCUGAUGUGAAAGCCUUCGGCUCAACCGGAGAAUUGCAUCAGAAACUGUCGAGCUUGAGUACAGAAGAGGAGAGUGGAACUCCAUGUGUAGCGGUGAAAUGCGUAGAUAUAUGGAAGAACACCGGUGGCGAAGGCGGCUCUCUGGUCUGUUACUGACGCUGAAGCUCGAAAGCAUGGGUAGC